GAUGAACGCUGGCGGCGUGCCUAAUACAUGCAAGUCGAGCGAACAGACGAGGAGCUUGCUCCUUUGACGUUAGCGGCGGACGGGUGAGUAACACGUGGGUAACCUACCUAUAAGACUGGGAUAACUUCGGGAAACCGGAGCUAAUACCGGAUAAUAUUUCGAACCGCAUGGUUCGAUAGUGAAAGAUGGCUUUGCUAUCACUUAUAGAUGGACCUGCGCCGUAUUAGCUAGUUGGUAAGGUAACGGCUUACCAAGGCAACGAUACGUAGCCGACCUGAGAGGGUGAUCGGCCACACUGGAACUGAGACACGGUCCAGACUCCUACGGGAGGCAGCAGUAGGGAAUCUUCCGAAAUGGGCGAAAGCCUGACGGAGCAACGCCGCGUGAGUGAUGAAGGUCUUCGGAUCGUAAAACUCUGUUAUUAGGAAAGAACAAACUUGUAAGUAACUGUGCACGUCUGGACGGUACCUAAUCAGAAAGCCACGGCUAACUACGU
rnacentral:rRNA from 1 species